UGAUCUCAGAAUGGCGUUGAGGCGGUCAGAUUAGGCCGGGCUGGCUCACACGAGGGUCCCGGGCUUGGCUUUUUCCUGCCCGUACCACUGGACAUCAGCUAGUUCUGGAUAGAGGGAGGAAUCCAGGAAACAGCUAUCAUUGUAGCUCCUGUGGGAGGCCCAAGAAAGGAGAUGAGACAGUUAGUGGAGGAGGACGGGCUCAGCCAGGCCUAGACUGAGAAGGAUGUGUUCACCUUGACAGGGCCCUGGGCUAACCACGAGUCUUUCCUGUUGAGAGCAGUGAGGCCUAAGACCCUCAACAGUGCUGCGUGUACAGAAGGCCCCAGAAUCCACACAAAGGGGCCGCUUGAAACCUAGAGCAUUUGUGAAAGAGGAAAACGGAAGGUAACGCUUACUCAGUGCACUGGUUGCACUGGUUCUUCAACGUGGCUGCAUCCGGGGAGCACCUGGGAACUCUCAGAAAUACUCAUGCCCGGGCCCCGGCUCGGGAGACAAUGGCCUAAUUGGUUUGGGAUGUGUUUGAGCGCUGGGAGCUGCCAAAGCUCCCACCAGGUGAUCCUCAGAUGCAGCCGAAGCCAGACUCUCCGGGCUUUCCUCAGGGGACUUUUCCCACGACAGCUGCCGGGGUUGUCCUCCAUGAGACCCCAGGGCUAACCAGAUGUCACUAGGACAUUUUUAUUCUGUCCUGGAAGAACAUUCGAAUUGUGAGGUUUCCCUAUAGUGAAACUGCGGUGGUAUUUUGAAUUGUGUUUUAAAAGUUAAAAAAAAAAAGUGACGUUGCUUUAUUCUAAAUAACAUGUAUUGUUUUGUGAUUAUAAAAGUGUGUUCAUUUAAAAUAUACAGGAAAGUCUAUAGAAGAAAAUAAAAGGCUUUUUUUUUUUAAGUAUUUUAGGUAGGUAUCACCAUUUAGGUUGGGUAGAAGUAAUUCUUAAAUCUCGAGAAGCAAUCAUAGAUCGGUGGAAGCCGACAGUCCUUACUAGGGAUCAUGAUUAGGAAGAACAGCCUCUCUCCAACGAUCCUGAAUGAGCCCUUUGAAUUCAUCUCCUGCAACUGAUCUCCCCGUGGGGAGUGCUAGGGGAGUGGUGAGGGAUGGGUGACAGGAGGGGACCCUAACCCAAUGUAGUUCGGAGCAGGUGAGUUUUAGGAGCAUUUCAGUACCAAACACAGCUUCACAACAGAAUCCGCAGCCAUCCCCAGCUGUCCGUUUCAUUUGCUAACCUCUCUAGGAACAACUGGAUGUUGUCAAUGUUUCUCAUCUGGUCUUAAAAUCCAUGAAAGCUGGAACAUCCCAAGGCAUCUGUGCAUGUACUGGUGGAUGUUAAUGAGAGUCCUGUGCUUGGAGCACCAGAAAUAAACCAGCUUCAGAAGCAAAGUAAGAAAAGGCCCUUGAUUAUGACACUGGCCACGGGUAUUACUAUAUGUAGGUGGUAAGUGGACGUUUCUGGGACACCUGUCCUGCCAACUUUCUUUCUACCCUAAGCUGACUUUUGAAAUUGUGCCUGACUGGAAAACUUCUAAGGGGAGAGGUGGUUGGGCCCUCCAGGGGUCCUGUGUUUCUCCUAGGGGGACAUCUCUCCCUAAUUCCACGUGGUCCUGGUGGUGCUGUCCGCCAUGCCGCCAUCCUCGCUCCCGGGGGGACCAGGGGACAAGGAACCCAAUGGGGCCGGGCCAAGGAGAGUCCCCCGAUCACAAUCCCUGGUUCAAAGAUGGCCACGUGCCUGAGCAGCUUUGAAACCACAAAGAUGUCAUUUCCUCCCGAGAACGAAGGUAACAGGAGGAGGAAGCAGAGCGAGAGAAGAAACGAGACCCAGCCAGCCCAGGCUCCAGUGACAUCAGCCGGUACAUGCUCGUUUGCUUACGUGUGUUCAACUGAGUUUUUCAUAUGUAACUAACGAAUACUGGCACAUGAUCUGAAUAUCUAUGACACUCUUUCGAGCUGACACAGUGAAGAACAUGGAAGGAGAACUCACCCAGUCUGCCAGGGUCACAGAUGAUCAUACUCAAGAUCUUCCUGGGAAGUCAAUGGCAAAUUUCACUGGGCUAUUUUACAGAUGAAGAAGGAACAUAAAGAAGGUUCUAGGACCUUGAAGUCCCCGGAAAACCCACUAUUACCUGAUCUCUGGAGCUUGUCAUUUGGCCAGUGGACCCUAAUAAACACGUCCACGGGGAUGUGGGGAUAGAAUGCCGGAGCCUGGCUCACUUGGGCAGCCAGGUUCUUCCUCUUUGCCCUGCUGUCUCCAGGCACCAAGAAUUUCCUACAGUUCCCCAAAGAUGAACCCCCCCCAUUAUCUCAGGUCACUGUUUCCCCUGAUCUUUGCCAAAUUCCUGACUCAGAGUUCCUCCCAUUUGCUUCUGACUCUCAUUCUGUUCUUACAAUGUUUACCAUUUCUGUUGUUCUCAGUGUCCCUCUCUCUGAGUGGUAAGAGUAUGUUAAUAAGCCAGUGCUGUGACCAGAGCACAAGGCACCUGCUCAGUGUUGGUCAUUGCCACUGUUAUUAAAUGUAACUUAAAGGAA